rnacentral:rRNA from 1 species
UACAGAGGGGGCAAGCGUUGUUCGGAAUUACUGGGCGUAAAGGGCGCGUAGGCGGCCGUUCAAGUCGGGGGUGAAAGCCUGUGGCUCAACCACAGAAUGGCCUUCGAUACUGGACGGCUCGAGACCGGAAGAGGUCAGUGGAACUGCGAGUGUAGAGGUGAAAUUCGUAGAUAUUCGCAAGAACACCAGUGGCGAAGGCGGCUGACUGGUCCGGUUCUGACGCUGAGGCGCGAAAGCGUGGGGAGCAAACAGG